AGAAGUAACCUGUCCGGAUAUUAAUUGCCGAAUUUAUUGUGAGUAUGGCUAUCAGAGAGGAUCAGAUGGCUGUGAACGGUGCAUAUGCCAACCACCUCCACGUAAUAUAUCUUUGAAUGAUACAGAUAUUGAUGGAGGUUCGUUCAGCAACUUUUGUCCAGUUUAUAUGUGCGAUAAAGCGUGUGAAUUUGGAUUUGACUUGGACGAGUAUGGAUGCGAAAUAUGCGAAUGUAAAACUUCACCAGACGUAACCUGUCCGGAUAUAAAUUGUCGGAUUCACUGUGAGUAUGGCUACCAAAGAAGAUCAGAUGGAUGCGAAAGGUGCAUAUGCCAACCACCACCAC